rnacentral:rRNA from 1 species
CGGCGAGUGAAGCGGCAACAGCUCAAAUUUGAAAUCUGGCUUCGGCCCGAGUUGUAAUUUGUAGAGGAAACUUUUGGUGAGGCACCUUCUGAGUCCCUUGGAACAGGGCGCCAUAGAGGGUGAGAGCCCCGUAUAGUCGGAUGCCGAUCCAAUGUAAAGUUCCUUCGACGAGUCGAGUAGUUUGGGAAUGCUGCUCAAAAUGGGAGGUAAAUUUCUUCUAAAGCUAAAUAUAGGCCAGAGACCGAUAGCGCACAAGUAGAGUGAUCGAAAGAUGAAAAGCACUUUGAAAAGAGGGUUAAAUAGCACGUGAAAUUGUUGAAAGGGAAGCGUUUGUGACCAGACUUGCGCCGUUCCGAUCAUCCGGUGUUCUCACCGGUGCACUCGGGGCGGCUCAGGCCAGCAUCGGUUUUGGUGGGGGGAUAAAGGUUCAGGGAACGUAGCUCCUCCGGGAGUGUUAUAGCCCUGGGCGUAAUGCCCUCGCUGGGACCGAGGUUCGCGCAAGGAUGCUGGCGUAAUGGUCAUCAACGACCCGUCUUGAAACACGGACCAAGGAGUCAAGGUUUUGCGCGAGUGUUUGGGUGUAAAACCCGCACGCGUAAUGAAAGUGAACGUAGGUGAGAGCUUCGGCGCAUCAUCGACCGAUCCUGAUGUAUUCGGAUGGAUUUGAGUAAGAGCGUUAAGCCUUGGACCCGAAAGAUGGUGAACUAUGCUUGGAUAGGGUGAAGCCAGAGGAAACUCUGGUGGAGGCUCGCAGCGGUUCUGACGUGCAAAUCGAUCGUCAAAUCUGAGCAUGGGGGCGAAAG